rnacentral:lncRNA from 1 species
UAAGAGAGUUUGGAUCUUAGAGAGAGGUUCAUGUGAAACAUUUGUUUGAUUUUAUUUAUAUUUUCUUAAGGGUAAAAAUGUCCUUUCCAUUUUGUAAUUAAGGUGUGAAAGUUAUAAAUAAGGGUGUGGCAAUGCACAUAGCUCGAGCUUUAUAUUGUGUUAUUCUAUCAUUAUUUUUAUGUUUCUUUUUCUGCGUUUC